rnacentral:rRNA from 1 species
UUCCGUAGGUACCUGCGGAAGG